GUGGGGAAUUUUGGACAAUGGGCGCAAGCCUGAUCCAGCAAUGCCGCGUGCAGGAAGAAGGCCUUCGGGUUGUAAACUGCUUUUGUACGGAACGAAACGGUCCUGGUUAAUACCCGGGGCUAAUGACGGUACCGUAAGAAUAAGCACCGGCUAACUACGUGCCAGCAGCCGCGGUAAUACGUAGGGUGCAAGCGUUAAUCGGAAUUACUGGGCGUAAAGCGUGCGCAGGCGGUUUUGUAAGACAGGCGUGAAAUCCCCGGGCUCAACCUGGGAAUGGCGCUUGUGACUGCAAGGCUGGAGUGCGGCAGAGGGGGAUGGAAUUCCGCGUGUAGCAGUGAAAUGCGUAGAUAUGCGGAGGAACACCGAUGGCGAAGGCAAUCCCCUGGGCCUGCACUGACGCUCAUGCACGAAAGCGUGGGGAGCAAACAGGAUUAGAAACCCGAGUAGUCC
rnacentral:rRNA from 1 species